GAGAGAAGUGACCGAGUCUCUACUACAAAACCGUGCCUGUGUCUCAGGCGCUGCGCGAGCGCCUCCUCUCACACCACACCCACACAGUGACGUCAGAAUGACUGACUGACUGAAGGAAUUCCUCCAUGUGUUAAAGAUGGUGGGAUGAACAAAGAAAAAGAAGGGACAUUACUGAUGAGUGACCAACACGCGACUCAUCUGGAGCAAGUGCAGAAGCCGAGGACGGAUUUACUGCAUCACAACGAGUCUAAAAUAUUCAGCUCUGACUCUGAUUCACUAUCCUCACUGACUCUGAUUCACUAUCCUCACUGACUCUGAUUCACUAUCCUCACAGACUCUGAUUCACUAUCCACACUGACCUUCCUUGAGAAACCCUCACACUGUUAAACGAGUGCUAGAAUAAAUCCUGUGUAACAGUACAGUCAGAUGCAGAAGUAUUGGGAAAUAUGGAUAAGGAGGUAAAUGUGUGGUUUAAUGAGAUUAAUAUGACAUGAAAAAUAUAAAUAUUUACUCAGUGUAACGUUCUCUUAUCACCAGAACCUUCAUGCAUGAGAGACACUUUAUGAAGAAAGUAUGUGCACCCCUGACCAUCAGACCAUCAGACCUCAUCUCAUCCCUGAUUCAUUCCCUCUCCACUGUUACAAUCAGCUCCACUCUUCUCUUCUGGAAGGUUUCCCACUUGGACUCGGACUGUGUCUGUGGGGAUUAGUGAUCAUUCAGCUACAGGAGCAUUAGUGAGAUCAGACUCUGAUGUUGAGAAGCAUUAGUGAGAUCAAACUCUGAUGUUGAGGAGCAUUAGUGAGAUCAAACUCUGAUGUUGAGGAGCAUUAGUGAGAUCAGACUCUGAUGUUGAGGAGCAUUAGUGAGAUCAAACUCUGAUGUUGAGGAGCAUUAGUGAGAUCAGACUCUGAUGUUGAGGAGCAUUAGUGAGAUCAGACUCUGAUGUUGAGAAGCAUUAGUGAGAUCAGACUCUGAUGUUGAGGAGCAUUAGUGAGAUCAAACUCUGAUGUUGAGGAGCAUUAGUGAGAUCAGACUGAUGUUGAGAAGCAUUAGUGAGAUCAAACUCUGAUGUUGAGGAGCAUUAGUGAGAUCAAACUCUGAUGUUGAGGAGCAUUAGUGAGAUCAGACUCUGAUGUUGAGAAGCAUUAGUGAGAUCAGACUCUGAUGUUGAGGAGCAUUAGUGAGAUCAAACUCUGAUGUUGAGGAGCAUUAGUGAGAUCAGACUGAUGUUGAGAAGCAUUAGUGAGAUCAAACUCUGAUGUUGAGGAGCAUUAGUGAGAUCAAACUCUGAUGUUGAGGAGCAUUAGUGAGAUCAGACUCUGAUGUUGAGAAGCAUUAGUGAGAUCAGACUCUGAUGUUGAGGAGCAUUAGUGAGAUCAGACUCUGAUGUUGAGGAGCAUUAGUGAGAUCAGACUCUGAUGUUGAGAAGCA